GAUGAACGCUGGCGGCGUGCCUAAUACAUGCAAGUCGAGCGAACUGAUUAGAAGCUUGCUUCUAUGACGUUAGCGGCGGACGGGUGAGUAACACGUGGGCAACCUGCCUGUAAGACUGGGAUAACUUCGGGAAACCGAAGCUAAUACCGGAUAGGAUCUUCUCCUUCAUGGGAGAUGAUUGAAAGAUGGUUUCGGCUAUCACUUACAGAUGGGCCCGCGGUGCAUUAGCUAGUUGGUGAGGUAACGGCUCACCAAGGCAACGAUGCAUAGCCGACCUGGGAGGGUGAUCGGCCACACGGGGACUGAGAAACGGCCAGACUCCUACGGGAGGCAGCAGUAGGGAAUCUUCCGCAAUGGACGAAAGUCUGACGGAGCAACGCCGCGUGAGUGAUGAAGGCUUUCGGGUCGUAAAACUCUGUUGUUAGGGAAGAACAAGUACGAGAGUAACUGCUCGUACCUUGACGGUACCUAACCAGAAAGCCACGGCUAACUACGUGCCAGCCGCCGCAGUAAUAC
rnacentral:rRNA from 1 species